rnacentral:rRNA from 1 species
AUAGCCAAGUAUGAUUAGAUGGCUCAGAAUCACGCUGGCGGGUGCCUAACACAUGCAGUCGAACGAGAAGUGGAGCAUCCAUGAGUAAAGUGGCGACCGGGUGAGUAACACGUAACUAACCUACCUUCGAGUGGGGUAUAACUCGGGAAACCGGGGCUAAUACCGCAUAACAUCUUUGGAGUGGAAAUUCUGGAGAUCAAAGGAGCAAUUCCCUGGAAGAGGGGGUCGCGGCUGAUUAGCUAGUUGGCGGGGUAACGGAUCCACCAAGGCUUAGAUCGGUAGCCGGCCUGAGAGGGCGCACGGCCACACUGGAACUGACCACACGGUCCAGACUCCUACGGGAGGCAGCAGUGGGGAAUUUUGCGCAAUGGGGGAAACCCGGACGCAGCAACGCCGCUUGGAGGAUGAAGUCCUUUGGGACGUAAACUCCUUUCGACCCGGACGAUAAUGACGGUACGGGUGGAAGAAGCCCCGGCUAACUUCGUGCCAGCAGCCGCGGUAAUACGAGGGGGGCAAGCGUUGUUCGGAAUUAUUGGGCGUAAAGGGCGCGUAGGCGGUGCGGUAAUUCACCUGUGUACCUCUAGGCUCAACCUAGAGCCUGCAGGCGAAACUGCCGUGCUUGAGAGUGGGAGAGGUGCGAGGAAUUCCCGCCGUAGCGGUGAAAUGCGUAGAUAUCGGGAGGAACACGUGUGGCGAAAGCGGCGCACUGGACCACAUCUGACGCUGAGGCGCGAAAGCUAAGGGAGCUAACAGGAUUAGAUACCCUGGUAGUCCUAGCCUUAAACGAUGGAUGCUUGGUGUGGUCGGUACCCAGUCCGGCUGUGCCGAUGCUAACGCGAUAAGCAUCCCGCCUGGGGAGUACAGUCGCAAGGCUGAAACUCAAAGGAAUUGACGGGGGCCCGCACAAGCGGUGGAGCAUGUGGUUCAAUUCGACGCAACGCGAAGAACCUUACCUGGGCUCGAUUCACAGUGGACCUGGGUAGCAACAUCCCUUUUCGCAAGAACUGCUGUGGAGGUGCUGCAUGGCUGUCGUCAGCUCGUGUCGUGCGAUGUUGGGUCAAGUCCCGCAACGAGCGCAACCCUUAUCGUUUGCAGCCAGGGGGUCAAGCCGGGCACUCUAGCGAAACCGCCCCGGAUAACGGGGAGGAAGGUUGGGAUGACGUCAAGUCCUCAUGGCCUUUAUGUCCAGGGCUACACACGUGCUACAAUGGUCGGUACAAACUGUCGCAACCUGCGAAGGGGAGCUAAUCGUAAUCAAGCCGGCCCCAGUUCGGAAUUUAGUAUGAACUCGAUUCCAUGAAACUGGUAGCGCUAGUAAUCGCGGAUCAGCACGCCGCGGUGAAUAAGUUCCCGGGCCUUGCAGCUACCUA